AACGAACGCUGGCGGCAGGCCUAACACAUGCAAGUCGAGCGCCCCGCAAGGGGAGCGGCGGACGGGUGAGUAACGCGUGGGAACGUACCCUUUGCUACGGAAUAGCCUCGGGAAACUGGGAGUAAUACCGUAUGUGCCCUUCGGGGGAAAGAUUUAUCGGCAAAGGAUCGGCCCGCGUUGGAUUAGGUAGUUGGUGGGGUAAGUGGCCUACCAAGCCGACGAUCCAUAGCCGGUUUGAGAGGAUGAUCAGCCACACUGGGACUGAGACACGGCCCAGACUCCUACGGGAGGCAGCAGUGGGGAAUCUUAGACAAUGGGCGCAAGCCUGAUCUAGCCAUGCCGCGUGAGCGAUGAAGGCCUUAGGGUUGUAAAGCUCUUUCAGUGGGGAAGAUAAUGACUGUACCCACAGAAGAAGCCCCGGCUAACUCCGUG
rnacentral:rRNA from 1 species